rnacentral:rRNA from 1 species
GGGUUGUGAGGUUAAGCGACUAAGCGUACACGGUGGAUGCCCUGGCAGUCAGAGGCGAUGAAGGACGUGCUAAUCUGCGAUAAGCGUCGGUAAGGUGAUAUGAACCGUUAUAACCGGCGAUUUCCGAAUGGGGAAACCCAGUGUGAUUCGUCACACUAUCAUUAACUGAAUCCAUAGGUUAAUGAGGCGAACCGGGGGAACUGAAACAUCUAAGUACCCCGAGGAAAAGAAAUCAACCGAGAUUCCCCCAGUAGCGGCGAGCGAACGGGGAGCAGCCCAGAGCCUGAAUCAGUGUGUGUGUUAGUGGAAGCGUCUGGAAAGGCGCGCGAUACAGGGUGACAGCCCCGUACACAAAAAUGCACAUGCUGUGAGCUCGAUGAGUAGGGCGGGACACGUGGUAUCCUGUCUGAAUAUGGGGGGACCAUCCUCCAAGGCUAAAUACUCCUGACUGACCGAUAGUGAACCAGUACCGUGAGGGAAAGGCGAAAAGAACCCCGGCGAGGGGAGUGAAAAAGAACCUGAAACCGUGUACGUACAAGCAGUGGGAGCACGCUUAGGCGUGUGACUGCGUACCUUUUGUAUAAUGGGUCAGCGACUUAUAUUCUGUAGCAAGGUUAACCGAAUAGGGGAGCCGAAGGGAAACCGAGUCUUAACUGGGCGUUAAGUUGCAGGGUAUAGACCCGAAACCCGGUGAUCUAGCCAUGGGCAGGUUGAAGGUUGGGUAACACUAACUGGAGGACCGAACCGACUAAUGUUGAAAAAUUAGCGGAUGACUUGUGGCUGGGGGUGAAAGGCCAAUCAAACCGGGAGAUAGCUGGUUCUCCCCGAAAGCUAUUUAGGUAGCGCCUCGUGAAUUCAUCUCCGGGGGUAGAGCACUGUUUCGGCAUGGGGUCAUCCCGACUUACCAACCCGAUGCAAACUGCGAAUACCGGAGAAUGUUAUCACGGGAGACACACGGCGGGUGCUAACGUCCGUCGUGAAGAGGGAAACAACCCAGACCGCCAGCUAAGGUCCCAAAGUCAUGGUUAAGUGGGAAACGAUGUGGGAAGGCCCAGACAGCCAGGAUGUUGGCUUAGAAGCAGCCAUCAUUUAAAGAAAGCGUAAUAGCUCACUGGUCGAGUCGGCCUGCGCGGAAGAUGUAACGGGGCUAAACCAUGCACCGAAGCUGCGGCAGGUUGUUGGGUAGGGGAGCGUUCUGUAAGCCUGUGAAGGUGUACUGUGAGGUAUGCUGGAGGUAUCAGAAGUGCGAAUGCUGACAUAAGUAACGAUAAAGCGGGUGAAAAGCCCGCUCGCCGGAAGACCAAGGGUUCCUGUCCAACGUUAAUCGGGGCAGGGUGAGUCGACCCCUAAGGCGAGGCCGAAAGGCGUAGUCGAUGGGAAACAGGUUAAUAUUCCUGUACUUGGUGUUACUGCGAAGGGGGGACGGAGAAGGCUAUGUUGGCCGGGCGACGGUUGUCCCGGUUUAAGCGUGUAGGCUGGUUUUCCAGGCAAAUCCGGAAAAUCAAGGCUGAGGCGUGAUGACGAGGCACUACGGUGCUGAAGCAACAAAUGCCCUGCUUCCAGGAAAAGCCUCUAAGCAUCAGGUAACAUCAAAUCGUACCCCAAACCGACACAGGUGGUCAGGUAGAGAAUACCAAGGCGCUUGAGAGAACUCGGGUGAAGGAACUAGGCAAAAUGGUGCCGUAACUUCGGGAGAAGGCACGCUGAUAUGUAGGUGAAGUCCCUCGCGGAUGGAGCUGAAAUCAGUCGAAGAUACCAGCUGGCUGCAACUGUUUAUUAAAAACACAGCACUGUGCAAACACGAAAGUGGACGUAUACGGUGUGACGCCUGCCCGGUGCCGGAAGGUUAAUUGAUGGGGUUAGCGCAAGCGAAGCUCUUGAUCGAAGCCCCGGUAAACGGCGGCCGUAACUAUAACGGUCCUAAGGUAGCGAAAUUCCUUGUCGGGUAAGUUCCGACCUGCACGAAUGGCGUAAUGAUGGCCAGGCUGUCUCCACCCGAGACUCAGUGAAAUUGAACUCGCUGUGAAGAUGCAGUGUACCCGCGGCAAGACGGAAAGACCCCGUGAACCUUUACUAUAGCUUGACACUGAACAUUGAGCCUUGAUGUGUAGGAUAGGUGGGAGGCUUUGAAGUGUGGACGCCAGUCUGCAUGGAGCCGACCUUGAAAUACCACCCUUUAAUGUUUGAUGUUCUAACGUUGACCCGUAAUCCGGGUUGCGGACAGUGUCUGGUGGGUAGUUUGACUGGGGCGGUCUCCUCCUAAAGAGUAACGGAGGAGCACGAAGGUUGGCUAAUCCUGGUCGGACAUCAGGAGGUUAGUGCAAUGGCAUAAGCCAGCUUGACUGCGAGCGUGACGGCGCGAGCAGGUGCGAAAGCAGGUCAUAGUGAUCCGGUGGUUCUGAAUGGAAGGGCCAUCGCUCAACGGAUAAAAGGUACUCCGGGGAUAACAGGCUGAUACCGCCCAAGAGUUCAUAUCGACGGCGGUGUUUGGCACCUCGAUGUCGGCUCAUCACAUCCUGGGGCUGAAGUAGGUCCCAAGGGUAUGGCUGUUCGCCAUUUAAAGUGGUACGCGAGCUGGGUUUAGAACGUCGUGAGACAGUUCGGUCCCUAUCUGCCGUGGGCGCUGGAGAACUGAGGGGGGCUGCUCCUAGUACGAGAGGACCGGAGUGGACGCAUCACUGGUGUUCGGGUUGUCAUGCCAAUGGCACUGCCCGGUAGCUAAAUGCGGAAGAGAUAAGUGCUGAAAGCAUCUAAGCACGAAACUUGCCCCGAGAUGAGUUCUCCCUGACUCCUUGAGAGUCCUGAAGGAACGUUGAAGACGACGACGUUGAUAGGCCGGGUGUGUAAGCGCAGCGAUGCGUUGAGCUAACCGGUACUAAUGAACCGUGAGGCUUAACCUUACAACGCCGAAGGUGUUU